AGCGGAGGGAUCAUUACUGAGUUAUUAAAACUCCAAACCCUUUGUGAACCUUACUGUCGUUGCCUCGGCGUGAGCUACGGCUACCCUGUAGUUACCCUAUAGCUACCUGCAGCUACCCUAUAGUUGACCAGUAGCUACCCUGUAGUUACCCUAUAGCUACCCUGCAGCUACCCUAUAGUUGACAUGUAGCUACCCUGUAGCCGGCUUAUGGCCCGCCGAAGGACCGCUAAACUCUUGUUUUUUACCACUGUUUCUCUGAAUUGUAAACUUAAAUAAGUUAAAACUUUCAACAACGGAUCUCUUGGUUCUGGCAUCGAUGAAGAACGCAGCGAAAUGCGAUAAGUAAUGUGAAUUGCAGAAUUCAGUGAAUCAUCGAAUCUUUGAACGCACAUUGCGCCCAUUAGUAUUCUAGUGGGCAUGCCUAUUCGAGCGUCAUUUCGACCCUUAAGCCCCUGUUGCUUAGCGUUGGGAAUCUACAGCGUAGUUCCUUAAAGUUAGUGGCGGAGUUAGGGUACACUCUCAGCGUAGUAAUCUUUCUCGCUCGUGUGGUGGCCCUGGCUGCUAGCCGUUAAACCCCUAUAUUUUCUAGUGGUUGACCUCGGAUUAGGUAGGAAUACCCGCUGAACUUAAGCAU
rnacentral:rRNA from 1 species